UUUGAUGUUCUAACGUUGACCCGUGAUCCGGGUUGCGGACAGUGUCUGGUGGGUAGUUUGACUGGGGCGGUCUCCUCCUAAAGAGUAACGGAGGAGCACGAAGGUUGGCUAAUCCUGGUCGGACAUCAGGAGGUUAGUGCAAUGGCAUAAGCCAGCUUGACUGCGAGCGUGACGGCGCGAGCAGGUGCGAAAGCAGGUCAUAGUGAUCCGGUGGUUCUGAAUGGAAGGGCCAUCGCUCAACGGAUAAAAGGUACUCCGGGGAUAACAGGCUGAUACCGCCCAAGAGUUCAUAUCGACGGCGGUGUUUGGCACCUCGAUGUCGGCUCAUCACAUCCUGGGGCUGAAGUAGGUCCCAAGGGUAUGGCUGUUCGCCAUUUAAAGUGGUACGCGAGCUGGGUUUAGAACGUCGUGAGACAGUUCGGUCCCUAUCUGCCGUGGGCGCUGGAGAACUGAGGGGGGCUGCUCCUAGUACGAGAGGACCGGAGUGGACGCAUCACUGGUGUUCGGGUUGUCAUGCCAAUGGCACUGCCCGGUAGCUAAAUGCGGAAGAGAUAAGUGCUGAAAGCAUCUAAGCACGAAACUUGCCCCGAGAUGAGUUCUCCCUGACUCCUUGAGAGUCCUGAAGGAACGUUGAAGACGACGACGUUGAUAGGCCGGGUGUGUAAGCGCAGCGAUGCGUUGAGCUAACCGGUACUAAUGAACCGUGAGG
rnacentral:rRNA from 1 species